rnacentral:rRNA from 1 species
AUUGAACGCUGGCGGCGGGCUUAACACAUGCAAGUCGAACGAGUGGCGGACGGGUGAGUAAUGCGUGGGAAACUUGCUUAUGGAGGGGGAUAAAUACGGGGAACCGUAGCUCAUAACGCGAUACAUAGGAUGAGCCCACGUGGGAUGAGGGAGGUGGGGGGGUAUAGGCUCACAAAGCGACUAUCUCUAGCUGGUCUGAGAGGAUGACCAGCCACACUGGGACGGAGACACGGCCCAGACUCUUCAGGGAGGCAGCAGUGGGGAAUAUUGCGCAAUGGGGGCAACCCUGACGCAGCCAUGCCGCGUGAAUGAAGAAGGCCUUCGGGUUGUAAAGUGCUUUCGGUAGCGAGGCGUUAACUACAGAAGAAGCACCGGCUAACUCCGUGCCAGCAGCCGCGGUAAUAC